rnacentral:rRNA from 1 species
UAAGCGGAGGAAAAGAAACUAACAAGGAUUCCCCUAGUAACGGCGAGCGAAGCGGGAAGAGCUCAAAUUUGAAAGCUGGCACCUCCGGUGUCCGCGUUGUAAUCUCGAGACGUGUUUUCCGUGCGGCUCUAUGGACAAGUCCCUUGGAAUAGGGCAUCGUAGAGGGUGAGAAUCCCGUACUUGCCAUGGAAGAACCGUGCUUUGCGAUACACGCUCUAAGAGUCGAGUUGUUUGGGAUUGCAGCUCAAAACGGGUGGUAGACUCCAUCUAAAGCUAAAUAUCGGGGAGAGACCGAUAGCGAACAAGUACCGUGAGGGAAAGAUGAAAAGCACUUUGGAAAGAGAGUUAAAAGUACGUGAAAUUGUCGAAAGGGAAGCACUUGAAGUCAGCCAUGCUGCUUGAGACUCAGCCUGGCCUUUGGGCUUGGUGUAUUUCUCGGUGGCAAGCCAGCAUUGGUUUGGGUCGUCGGAGAAGCGUAUAGGGAAUGUAGCGUCUCCGGACGUGUUAUAGCCUUAUGCAGGAUACGACGACCUGGAUCAAGGAACGCAGUGUGCCCUCUGGGCGGGUCUUCGGACACCUUCACACUUAGGAUGCUGGCGUAAUGGCUUUAAGUGGCCCGU